AAGUCCUCCCCUGCUCUCCCACUCCCCACACAGACAGUCCCUACUCCAUCACACACCUCUAAAAGGGGGUGGAGGCGGUGCUCCCCCUUGGCUUCCCUGGGAGCAGGUCGGUGCUGGUAUGUGGAUUGAAAACUUGGCCUGGGCAUGCAUUGCGCUAAUUGCCUCUUUGCUUCACUCUAUAUCCCUGGGGUUGGGGUGAUGCCCUGGUCCCUCCAGCUCCCCACACCUAGACCCUGCUCCCUGCACCGUGGCUGCUGACAAGGCAGUGGGCUCUGGUAAUGGUUUGAACUUGGAGAACCAUUCAAGCAAGCACUGAACAUGGCUUCACAGGUGUUCUGCUCACGUUUCCUGGCAGGUCCCAAGGCUGGGGGAACUGGCUUGAGAGAGGGAAGCGGGCCCAGUCUUUUCCGUCUCUCUUGGUACAGGAGUUUCUCCUGGUCCCUAGUCAUUCCCACCACUCGCCUCUCCUCUCUGCGAUUUGAGGGGGGUAACCAGGCCUGGCAUCCCGGGGGGGGGGGGCAUGCUGCUGAAUAGCAUCGGACUCCCCAGCCCCCAUAACGCAUUUCAGCCCUUUGUUUGCGUCUCUGACAGCUGCUGCCCAGUGAGCAGAGGUUGCACUGACCUCAAGCCCUGGUCCCAGGUGGUUCAGGCCCCCCAGACACAGUACCUUGCCUUUGUCAGCACUAAAUUUCAUCUGCCAGGCUCUUCCCCGGCCACCUAGCAGAAGGGGCUGCACUCCUGAUGGGAGCAGAGGACUGAAUUUUCAAAGCUGGAGGCCCUGGCUGGUGUAGACGGGCCCAUUCCUGAGCCUGUGCAUUUGGACAGUGUGUGCAAACCAGGAACCAGCUGCAUGUGAGCACCGAGUUGACAGCUGAGUCCCAGUGCAGGGGGCCCCAGGGGUCCGGCCCCAUGGAGGAAGCAGCCAGCAGCCAAGCCCCCUGUGAGGGGAGCAAGAGCCAGAGGCUGCUGGGGAUCGAGGAGGAGCCCCCGGCCGGCCCCCCACCUGACUAUCGGCAGCACUUGUAGAGCCAUCUGGGUCCUGAAAGAGCCAAAUACUUCCUGAGCCCGCCAGCCCUGGCGCGAUGCAGGCGCCCCGGGGAGCUGGGCCUGCUGGAGGCAGCAGGAGGUGCCCUGGCUAGGACGCGCCUCUCUCAUGCCCAGGAUGCAGCGGGUGGCACAGUGGAGGCGGCAGCUGCAUGUGAUGCACCGGCUGGGGAAGCUGCACCAGGACGAAACCAGCCUGCUGCUGGCCAGGGAGCCGCUCGCCAACCUCAAUGACAACCGGGGGGCGCAGGGGCCGGCCCUCUAUCUGCACAGGGCCCUCCAGGGAGGUCGCUGAGCAGGUGCCUGCUGGCUGUGGAGCCCAGUCCCGGCAUGGUGCCCCACAGCCGAUGCCAGAGCCAGCUGUGGGCGAAGCGUGGCCUGGACCCCGGACUCCCGCUCCCAUGCCCCCGCUGAGUGGGCAGAGGCUGCUGCAUGUUCACCCCAAGCUGGGGCCUGUGCUGGGGGCUGGGCAGGCAGUGCUGGGGGGCCAAGGCAUGCCCCUGGCUGGCUGGCUAGUAGCCUGUGGAAUCUGCAGCACAAGGGGAGGGACUGGGCACAGGAUCUCCAGGCCACUGGUGCCAGCGUGUGUCCAGGGAGAUGGGAUUUGUCACCUGCGCCGCAUGGCAGUGUGUUGGCUGGGCACUGAGCCUGUAGCAAAUGGAUCUGCCCCCCCAGGGCUGUGCUCAGUCUGGCCAACGCCAGUCAAUGCGCCAGUGGCGCAGGCAGUGAGGAAGGCGCUCUGCCCCUCAUUCCCUCUCAGCUGCGCCGAGAGCUUAGGGCAGAGGGGCUGGCACUGGCAGUGAGACCCAGCAGCUCUGCCAGUCCUGAGCGGAGGUGUGAGAAUCAGCCUUCCCCUCACAGGCAAGCUGGAGCUAACCGGGUGGGCCGCUCCCAGGCUGGGCUCCGCGAGUCCCUCUGGCCGGGCCUUUGCCAGGGGCGCCCACGUGGCCAGGGGCUGCGGGCAGGGGCGGCGAGUUAGAUAGACGUGGUGCCCAGGCUCCAGGAAUAUUCCAGGUCUCUCCCCCAGCCCCGCCUGAUGCCCCCGGGUGAUUUAAAAGGGCCCAGAGACCCCUGGCCACCACCAUCGGCAGCUCAGCUGGGUAAGACAGCUUCUUCCCCGGCCUCACUCCGCGCUACUCCUGGAAGUGGCCGGAAUGGCCCUACGGCCCCUGGAGAGCAGGGGGUCUCCGCACGCUGUCUCUGCCCCAAGCGCCGACUCUGCAACUCCCAUUGGCUGGGAACUACAGCCAUGUGCAGCCCCCCUGCCUCUAAGCCACUGCCAAUGUGGGGUGCUGGUCACUUUUGGGAGCUGCCCAAGGUAAUCGCUGCACACCUUUCCUGCACCCCAAACCCCUGUCCCAGCCCAGAGCCCUCACCCCAACCCCGCUUCUGCACCCAAAAUCCCUCCCAGAGCCCGAUCCCACCGCACCCAAACUCUUUCCCACAGCCCGACCCUCCUCCCACACCCAACCCCCCUCCUGCACCCAAACUCCCUCCCAGAGCCC